rnacentral:rRNA from 1 species
AUUGCACGCUGGCGGCAGGCCUAACACAUGCAAGUCGAGCGAGCGGCGCACGGGUGUGUAAUGUAUCGGAACGUGCCCCGUAGCGGGGGAUAACUACGCGAAACGUAGCUCAUACCGCCCACUAUUGCAGUGGUCGAUAUCGGAUUAGCUAGUUGGUGGGGUAACGGCUCACCAAGGCGACGAUCUCUAGCUGGUUUGAGAGGACGACCAGCCACACGGGUACUGAGACACGGCCCAGAAUCCUACGAGAGGCAGCAGUAGGGAAUGUUGGACCAUGGGGGAAACCCUGAUCCAGGCAUCCCGCGAAUGGGAUGAAGGCCUUCGGGGUGUAAAGGACUUUUGGCAGAAGAGCGGUACCUGCAGAAUAAGCACCGGCUAACUCCGUGCCAGCAGCCGCGGUAAUAC